GAUGAACGCUAGCUACAGGCUUAACACAUGCAAGUCGAACGAGCGAGAGAGAGUUUGCUUUCUCGAGCGAGUGGCGAACGGGUGAGUAACGCGUGAGGAACCUGCCUCAAAGAGGGGGACAACAGUUGGAAACGACUGCUAAUACCGCAUAAGCCCACAGCUCGGCAUCGAGCAGAGGGAAAAGGAGUGAUCCGCUUUGAGAUGGCCUCGCGUCCGAUUAGCUGGUUGGUGAGGUAACGGCCCACCAAGGCGACGAUCGGUAGCCGGACUGAGAGGUUGAACGGCCACAUUGGGACUGAGACACGGCCCAG
rnacentral:rRNA from 1 species